GUUAGAUAGUUAAGACACACACUAAACUAAACAGAGAGAAAGUGACUCACACAAACAAAAAGAAUAUCAUGCGAAAAGCAAUGGUGGAAGAUUCCAAAAACAGGGACCGAAUUCUAGACCGCCCGAUAGGUAGGAGAUUGUCCGCAUCACGACGGUUGAAAACCGAACGGACUCAAUCUAUGUGAGUACAGUGCAGGACAACAAAUAUGUAUAAAAUGAAAAUUGACCUUUGAAUCUUCCAUUUAGACCAAAACUUCCGCAUGACAUUUUUGAGUUUAGCAAAGCCAUCUUGACUAGGAAACCUUGACCGAUUGAACCCUUGAAAAAGGUCCCAUACGGACCGAAACGUCGGGAAAAAUCAUAAA